UCACAUUGAAUAAUCCGCGAAGCAGAUUAUGUAAAAUGUGAAGAGUCCAAAAUUAGUUUUAUGGUUCAAUAAAGUCAAAAUAAAUUAUUGCCAUUCAUUAUAAAUAAAUUUCUAUGAAAAAAAUAGGCUCAAAGAACUUUUAAUACUAUUUAUAUUAAAACAAUAACAACAUACACACAUGUUGGCGUAUGAAUACACAACAUCAGAAUGGGCGUGUCUCCAUAAAAAUUGAUAACAUUGAAAAUAAAACUAAUACUUUUAACCAAUCAGAAGACAGUAAAUACACC
rnacentral:lncRNA from 1 species